CAGUCGCCGCGGUAAUACGGAGGAUCCAAGCGUUAUCCGGAAUCAUUGGGUUUAAAGGGUCCGUAGGCGGUCUUGUAAGUCAGUGGUGAAAGCCCAUCGCUCAACGGUGGAACGGCCAUUGAUACUGCAGGACUUGAAUUAUUGGGAAGUAACUAGAAUAUGUAGUGUAGCGGUGAAAUGCUUAGAGAUUACGUGGAAUACCAAUUGCGAAGGCAGGUUACUACCAAUUGAUUGACGCUGAUGGACGAAAGCGUGGGUAGCGAACAGGAUUAGAUACCCCAGUAGUCCCUGUCUCUUAUAA
rnacentral:rRNA from 1 species